UGGCGUAGCGGGUAAAGCCUCGGCUUGCAAAGCCAAAGGUCCCGGGUUCGAUUCCCGG
rnacentral:tRNA from 1 species